GCAAGUCGAGCGGUAACGCGGGAGCAAUCCUGGCGACGAGCGGCGAACGGGUGAGUAAUGUUUCGGAAUCUACCCAUGGGUGGGGAAUAACUAGCCGAAAGGUUAGCUAAUACCGCAUAAGUCCGUGAGGGGAAAGCGGGGGAUCGCAAGACCUCGCGCCGAUGGAUGAGCCGAAACCGGAUUAGCUAGUUGGUAGGGUAACGGCCUACCAAGGCGACGAUCCGUAGCUGGUCUGAGAGGACGACCAGCCACACUGGGACUGAGACACGGCCCAGACUCCUACGGGAGGCAGCAGUGGGGAAUAUUGGACAAUGGGGGAAACCCUGAUCCAGCGACGCCGCGUGUGUGAAGAAGGCCUGCGGGUUGUAAAGCACUUUUAGUGGGGAUGAAAAGCCCAAGGAUAAUACCUUUGGGUCUUGACCUAACCCACAGAAAAAGCACCGGCUAACUCUGUGCCAGCAGCCGCGGUAAUACAGAGGGUGCAAGCGUNAAUCGGAAUUACUGGGCGUAAAGCGUGCGUAGACGGUCAUGUAAGUCGGGUGU
rnacentral:rRNA from 1 species